rnacentral:rRNA from 1 species
AAUCAACGCUGGCGGCGUGCCUAACACAUGCAAGUCGAACGAGAAAGGGGACUUCGGUCCCUGAGUACAGUGGCGCACGGGUGAGUAACACGUGACUUAUCUACCCUCGAGUGGGGAAUAACUUCGGGAAACCGAGGCUAAUACCGCAUAAUACCCACGGGUCAAAGGAGCAAUUCGCUUGAGGAGGAGGUCGCGGCCGAUUAGUUAGUUGGCGGGGUAAUGGCCCCACCCAAGACGGUGAUCGGUAUCCGGCCUGAGAGGGCGCACGGACACACUGGAACUGAAACACGGUCCAGACUCCUACGGGAGGCAGCAGUGGGGAAUUUUGCGCAAUGGGGGAAACCCUGACGCAGCAACGCCGCGUGGAGGAUGAAGUCUCUUGGGACGUAAACUCCUUUCGAUCGGGACGAUUAUGACGGUACCGGAAGAAGAAGCCCCGGCUAACUUCGUG